CUGAGUGAAUGUAUUUGAGGUCUGAAGGCAAACAUGUGGACGUCCUUCAGCCCAUCAAGCCAGAGAGCCCAUAGAGAGAUCCUAGAGAGAUCCGCUGAGGAAAGAAAUGUGGUCCCUGCUCUGUCAAGAUGAGGAAAACAGACUCAGAGGGGAACAUGCGCAAGGUCCUGUAGAUAAUUCAAAUCGAGCUGAGACUUGAGUGUAGCUCUGUCUCCAAAGGAGGAUAUCAAUUAUGAAUCUCUCACUAGUGUUUCUGAAAAGCUACCAUGGUCAUUCCUUUCCAACUGGCUGCCAGUCCAGACUGUCUCUCCAUUAUUCACCACGUCCAUUCCAUGUAAGCUGCUUUCUGCUCUCAGUUG